rnacentral:rRNA from 1 species
UUUGAUCAUGGCUCAGGAUAAACGCUGGCGGCGUGCCUAACACAUGCAAGUCGAACGCCCUCUUCCGCUCGCGGGAGAGGGAGUGGCGGACGGGUGAGUAACACAUGGGUCACCUACCCUUUGGUGAGGAAUACCGGCGAGAAAUCGUCGACAAGACCGCAUAGGCUUCCUUUAGGAAGCAAAGCUCCGCGUCGCGGGGCGCCAGAGGACGGGCCUGUGGCCGAUUAGCUUGUUGGGGAGGUAAAAGCCCCCCAAGGCCACGAUCGGUAGCUGGUCUAAGAGGAUGAUCAGCCACACUGGGAUUGAGAACGGCCCAGACUCCUACGGGAGGCAGCAGUGAGGAAUUUUCGGCAAUGGGCGCAAGCCUGACCGAGCAACGCCGCGUGCAGGAGGAAGGUCUUCGGAUCGUAAACUGCUUUUCACGGGGAAGAGAAUGGACGGUACCCGAGGAAGAAGCCCCGGCUGACUACGUGCCAGCAGCCGCGGUAAUACGUAGGGGGCAAGCGUUGUCCGGAGUUACUGGGCGUAAAGCGCCCGCAGGCGGUCGGUCGCGUUUGAGGUAACAGCUCCUGGCUUACCUGGGAGAGCGUCUCAAAGACGGGCUGACUUGAGGACCAGAGAGGGACACGGAAUUCCGUGUGGAGUGGUGAAAUGCGUAGAUAUCCGGAGGAACACCGAAGGCGCAGGCAGUGUCCUGGCUGGCACCUGACGCUCAGGGGCGAAAGCUAGGGGAGCGAACGGGAUUAGAUACCCCGGUAGUCCUAGCCGUAAACGAUGACCACUAGGUGUGCGGGGUAUCGACCCCCUGCGUGCCGCAGCUAACGCAGUAAGUGGUCCGCCUGGGGAGUACGGUCGCAAGAUUAAAACUCAAAGGAAUUGACGGGGACCCGCACAAGCAGCGGAGCGUGUGGUUUAAUUCGACGCGACGCGCAGAACCUUACCAGGGUUUGACAUGCCGGUGCACCGACCCGAGACGGUCGUGCCCGCAAGGGACGCCGGCACAGGUGCUGCAUGGCUGUCGUCAGCUCGUGCCGUGAGGUGUUGGGUUAAGUCCCGCAACGAGCGCAACCCCCAUCGUCGGUUGCAUCUGUCCGACGAGACUGCCUCGAUCAACGGGGAGGAAGGUGGGGAUGACGUCAAGUCAGCACGGCCCUUACAUCCUGGGCGACACACACGCUACAAUGGUCGCGACAACGGGGAGCCAACCCGCGAGGGGGAGCCAAUCCCAGCAAAGGCGGCCUCAGUUCGGAUUGCAGGCUGCAACCCGCCUGCAUGAAGUCGGAGUUGCUAGUAACCGUGGGUCAGCACACCACGGUGAAUACGUUCCCGGGUCUUGUACACACCGCCCGUCACACCACGAAAGUCGGCAACCCCUGAAGCCGCUGGGCUAACGGAGCGAUCCGAGGCAGGCGUCGAGGGUGGGGUCGGUGAUUGGGGUGAAGUCGUAACAAGGUAACCGUA